rnacentral:rRNA from 1 species
UACGUAGGGAGCAAGCGUUAUCCGGAAUUAUUGGGUGUAAAGGGUGCGUAGACGGGAUGUCAAGUUAGUUGUGAAAUACCUCGGCUCAACUGAGGAACUGCAACUAAAACUAACAUUCUUGAGUGCAGGAGAGGAAAGUGGAAUUCCUAGUGUAGCGGUGAAAUGCGUAGAUAUUAGGAAGAACAUCGGUGGCGAAGGCGACUUUCUGGACUGUAACUGACGUUGAGGCACGAAAGUGUGGGGAGCAAACA